GAUGAACGCUGGCGGCGUGCCUAAUACAUGCAAGUCGAGCGAACAGAUAAGGAGCUUGCUCCUUUGACGUUAGCGGCGGACGGGUGAGUAACACGUGGGUAACCUACCUAUAAGACUGGGAUAACUUCGGGAAACCGGAGCUAAUACCGGAUAACAUUUGGAACCGCAUGGUUCUAAAGUGAAAGAUGGUUUUGCUAUCACUUAUAGAUGGACCCGCGCCGUAUUAGCUAGUUGGUAGGUAACGGCUUACCAAGGCGACGAUACGUAGCCGACCUGAGAGGGUGAUCGGCCACACUGUAACUGAGACACGGUCCAGACUCCUACGGGAGGCAGCAGUAGGGAAUCUUCCGCAAUAGGCGAAAGCCUGACGGAGCAACGCCGCGUGAGUGAUGAAGGGUUUCGGCUCGUAAAACUCUGUUAUUAGGGAAGAACAAAUGUGUAAGUAACUGUGCACGUCUUGACGGUACCUAAUCAGAAAGCCACGGCUAACUACGUG
rnacentral:rRNA from 1 species